GUCGGGGAAGGCACCCCCAUAAACUCUGGGAAAGGAACAAGUAAAGUCCAGGAAGAAUCAGGAGGUUUUUCAUGGGACGGGGGAAAAUUCAGCUUUGGAAGUCUGCAAAUGAAUAUCCAUACAAAAUGCUUUGGAAUGCUAUGCUUCAAUGAAACAUAGAAGAAAGAAGGGAUGGACAAGAGAAUGAUCACUUAGGCUCCUUACAGGUGUGAUACUGCAGGGUAUAGUGACAAGGAGUGCAAAGGGAGGCGACGGCACAGAGCUGGGGAAGCCAGAUCUUUAAGGACUUCAUAUGCCAGCCACACAAAGUUCUAUGCUUUCAGAUCACCAUGCAGAUGGCAGAAUUCACUAGGGAUUUGUAUUAGUUACUUUAUGUUGCUGUGAUAGAAACACUGACCAAAGCAACUUAUAAAAGGAAGAGUUUGAACUUACGGUUCCAGG